rnacentral:lncRNA from 1 species
CUCAAUGUGCACGUGCUGCUCCUGCCAGGCGGAUGACAUCAGGAAUGCUCAUCAACUUGAGGGCGAAGAAAUGCUUGGCGGUCUUCUCCUUCACCGGGUGCACCCGCCCGAACGUCCCAGUGCCCACGGUGGCCAGUGUGUCGAAGUCCUGCAGGCGCUGAUUCACAACUCAAGUAGCACAGUGAAGGUGGACAAUUUGGACUGCCUAAGCAUCCCAGCAUCGUCUGUUCUACAUAUCACUAUUCCAAAUGGCAUGCUGCUGUGUUUGUGAAUCCAGCCUCCCACAUUGGGAAGUGUAGAGAGCUGUUGAGCCCUGUUUCCAAAUCCCCAGGUGAAGCUGCGCUGACAUGCCUUCUGUCCAUACAGCCCUUUCCAAGACUCAGCUAUUUGUGAUCACCCCCAAAUGUUACCCUGAUUCUAUUACCAAUUUGUAAUAAAACUCACUUGUAUGGUGG